rnacentral:rRNA from 1 species
CCUACGGGGGGCUGCAGUGGGGAAUUUUGGACAAUGGGCGAAAGCCUGAUCCAGCAAUGCCGCGUGAGUGAAGAAGGCCUUCGGGUUGUAAAGCUCUUUUGUUUGGGAAGAAAUCCCUAAGGAUAAUACCCUUGGGGGAUGACGGUACCAAAAGACUAAGCACCGGCUAACUACGUGCCAGCAGCCGCGGUAAUACGUAGGGUGCAAGCGUGGCGCGGAAUUACUGGGCGCGAAUUUUGCAGAGGCGGGUGAAAUCCCCGAGCUCAACUUGGGAACUGCACUUGUGACUGCAAGACUAGAGUGUGUCAGAGGGAGGUAGAAUUCCACGUGUAGCAGUGAAAUGCGUAGAUAUGUGGAGGAAUACCAGUGGCGAAGGCGGCCUCCUGGGAUAACACUGACGCUCAUGUACGAAAGCGUGGGGAGCAAACAGGAUUAGAUACCCUUGUAGUC